UCCCUCAGUAACGGCGAGUGAAGCGGGAAAAGGCCAGCUCUAACCUCCACCUUUUCGGAAGGUGGCGGGAUGUGAGGUGCGUGUUUCAGCCAUGCGACGAUCGAGCUCCGCGCAAGUCCUGUUGAGUCAGGCUCAGCCCAUGGAGGGUGUGAGGCCCGUACGGCGGAGAGCGGUCGCCGGUUGUACUGUAACAUAAGAGUCGGGUUGUGUGAGAAUGCAGCCCAAAGCGGGUGGUAAACUCCAUCUAAGCCUAAAUAUUGUGGCGAGACCGAUAGAGAACAAGUACCGUGAGAAAAAGUUGAAACGCUCUGAGAAGAGAGAGUUCAAUAGUACGUGACACCGUAGAGAGGUAAGCGGUGGAGGCAAUCAGGUAGUCUUGCGAGAUUCAACGCACGGAGUUGUGUGGUGUCGGGUAUUGCUCUCUCUCUCGGGAGGGGCAUACUUGGCUUCUCGUGCAUCCCGCGCGCGCAGUUCUCGCCCGGUCUCGGUCACGACCGAUUGCUGAGGAGUCUGAGAUGGCGACGUUAGGGCUCUUUCCUUUCGGGGUUUGAGUUGACGAAGCAUACGGCGACCUCCUUGGCGAUCGUGGGAGAUUGGCGUGCUCGCCUUCGGGCGGAGGACCCGGAAUUUGGCUCGGUUGUCGAUUGCCGUGGACUGUUCACAGUGCAUGGCGACUGUUGCUGGGUCUGGUCUGGUGCUUCUCUGGUAGUGCGUCCUGUCAGUGGCUUUGCGUUGCCCUCCACCGACCCGUCUUGAAACACGGACCAAGGAGUCUAACAUGUGUGCGAGUCGUGAGGGAUUUGAAACCCGCAGGCGUAAUGAAAGUGAAACACGAUUCCGUCGUGCAAGGCGAGAUCCUUCGUAUUUAUGCGGAGGCGCAUCGCCGUCCCGUCCGAUUUACAUGAUAAAUGGGCGGAGAAAGAGCAUACACGUUGGGACCCGAAAGAUGGUGAACUAUGCCUGAGCAGGCUGAAGCCAGGGGAAACUCUGGUGGAGGGCCGUAGCGAUUCUGACGUGCAAAUCGAUCGUCUGAUUUGGGUAUAGGGGCGA
rnacentral:rRNA from 1 species